GAGGAUUCCCCGAAUACCUAAAAUAGAGAUGAUCAUAGAAAAAGUAAAAUAUUUUAUAGGAUCCGUUUCGGAAACAUGGAAUGUCAGAGAAAUUCUAAUUAUGUGAGGCUUAGAAAGAAGUCCUGCGUAGAGUCCAGGGAGAGCCUAUUUUUCUUUGGUCAGAUGUAUGAGUGAAACUAGCCCUCGCCAUCAUCAUCGAUGAUGAAAAAACGAGGUAAUUCCCCAUUACGUACUCUCUUUUCUGUCUUGACCCACUCAACCACGCGAAAGUAGUACCGAGAGCUGUGCCCAUGUCGGACGAGGCCUUGCUCCACAAGCCAUAACUUAUCAGGGUCGUGGAGGUCCGAAUCUUUGUGGAGGAGAGUCGAGGCCACGAGAUCCGUGGUGCUUUCGUCCGCAAAGUGGUAGCUCAAGACCGCGGUAGCAUCGAGGUCUCUUAAAAAAGCGCCGAUGCGUUGGUGGUAAUUAAGGACUAGGGCUAGCCGUUCUUCCUCCCCCAUUGUAAGCGGUCGUCCUUCGGGCAGAUUUACAGGAGCCUGACCUCCCUGCGGGAGAUACGGGGCCACGGCGCGGGACAGGUCGUCAUCGCCCAUCAUAUUCAUACCACCUCCUAACAUCAUCAUAUUCAUAUCACCUAACAUAGAAACACUCGCUUUCCCAUAUGAGCAAGCGAAUCCGAGUCCUUCCGUCGACUCGAAAGGAUCGAACAAGUUCCAGAGAAGAAGAAUUAAUCUGAGCGUUAUCAAGGAGAACCAUAGCCAGAAUAUCAUUUUAUUUAUUUGGAAUGGAAAAAUAAAGCGCACCCAAAUAAAUAUUUGGGUUAAAAACAAAGUCACUCUUCUAUCCUUCAUAUCCGUAGAAAAAAAUCUCAUAUGUAAACCCCCCUUCACCCCCAUCCCCUAAAGUGGUAAAGAAGGAGGCUCUUUUUUGUCUCAUUAGGACAAACAAAUAGGAAGGGAUAGUUCUUUCAUUGCAUUGAUAGAAGUCAAACUUCUAUCAAAAGAUCUCUCUAUUAUUUAGAGAAAAGAGUUGGCGUGGGUUCUACCAACGAAACGAAUCAGUUUUGGAUUGAAAAACACAACAUUGCACAAUGAUCCGAUUCCAGCCUAUCAAAAGCCAAUUUCUUUAUUUAGAACUUCAAUCCUCACUAGAGCACUGAACAUUUGUUUAAUCUCCUAAAGUGGUGUUGCUACCUCAAUCUGUCCAUGCGUGGAUUCGCUGGCUCUGUUUGAAGCUUCGAACCUGUAUUGAGCUUUCUUCCUUCGUAUCGUAUUUCAGCGGAUCGGGUAGUUCCGGUUGCAGUCCCAGGGCUUUCAAUUACUAC
rnacentral:lncRNA from 1 species